rnacentral:rRNA from 1 species
GGGGAAUAUUGUCACAAUGGGCGCAAGCCUGAUGCAGCCAUGCCGUCGUGUAUGAAGAAGGCCUUCGGGUUGUAAAGUACUUUCAGCAGUGAGGAAGGUGGGUAUGUUAAUAGCAUAUUCAUUUGACGUUUAGCUGCAGAAGAAGCACCGGCUAACUCCGUGCCAGCAGCCGCGGUAAUACGGAGGGUGCGAGCGUUAAUCGGAAUUACUGGGCGUAAAGCGCAUGCAGGUGGUUUGUUAAGUCAGAUGUGAAAGCCCGGGGCUCAACCUCGGAAUUGCAUUUGAAACUGGCAAACUAGAGUACUGUAGAGGGGGUAGAAUUUCAGGUGUAGCGGUGAAAUGCGUAGAGAUCUGAAGGAAUACCGGUGGCGAAGGCGGCCCCCUGGACAGAUACUGACACUCAGAUGCGAAAGCGUGGGGAGCAAACAGGAUUAGAUACCCUGGUAG